UAUAUUGCACAAUGGGCGAAAGCCUGAUGCAGCGACGCCGCGCGGGGGACGAAGGCCUUCGGGUUGUAAACCCCUUUCAGCAGGGAAGAAGCGAGAGUGACGGCACCUGCAGAAGAAGCGCCGGCUAACUACGUGCCAGCAGCCGCGGUAAUACGUAGGGGGCAAGCGUUGUCCGGAAUUAUUGGGCGUAAAUAGCUGGCAGGCGGUCAGCCGCGUCUGCUGUGAAAACCCGAGGCUCAACCUCGGGCCUGCAGUGGGUACGGGCUGACAAGAGUGCGGUAGGAGAGACUGGAAUUCCUGGUGUAGCGGUGGAAUGCGCAGGUAUCAGGAGGAACACCGAUGGCGAAGGCAGGUCUCUGGGCCGCAACUGACGCUGAGGAGCGAAAGCAUGGGGAGCGAACA
rnacentral:rRNA from 1 species